rnacentral:rRNA from 1 species
UACGGAGGAUGCAAGCGUUAUCCGGAAUGAUUGGGCGUAAAGCGUCCGCAGGUGGCUGUGUAAGUCUGCUGUUAAAGAGUGAGGCUCAACCUCAUAAAAGCAGUGGAAACUACACAGCUAGAGUGCGUUCGGGGCAGAGGGAAUUCCUGGUGUAGCGGUGAAAUGCGUAGAGAUCAGGAAGAACACCGGUGGCGAAGGCGCUCUGCUAGGCCGCAACUGACACUGAGGGACGAAAGCCAGGGGAGCAAACGGG